rnacentral:rRNA from 1 species
GAUGAACGCUGGCGGCGUGCCUAAUACAUGCAAGUCGAGCGAACAGACGAGGAGCUUGCUCCUCUGACGUUAGCGGCGGACGGGUGAGUAACACGUGGAUAACCUACCUAUAAGACUGGGAUAACUUCGGGAAACCGGAGCUAAUACCGGAUAAUAUAUUGAACCGCAUGGUUCAAUAGUGAAAGACGGUUUUGCUGUCACUUAUAGAUGGAUCCGCGCCGCAUUAGCUAGUUGGUAAGGUAACGGCUUACCAAGGCAACGAUGCGUAGCCGACCUGAGAGGGUGAUCGGCCACACUGGAACUGAGACACGGUCCAGACUCCUACGGGAGGCAGCAGUAGGGAAUCUUCCGCAAUGGGCUAAAGCCUGACGGAGCAACGCCGCGUGAGUGAUGAAGGUCUUCGGAUCGUAAAACUCUGUUAUUAGGGAAGAACAAAUGUGUAAGUAACUAUGCACGUCUUGACGGUACCUAAUCAGAAAGCCACGGCUAACUACGUG